AUUUUAUUUUAUUGCUCUUGAAUAAGUUUCUUUAAGAAUUUCUUUCAUCUUGUCUUAAGGCAUUUAAAAUAGUCGAUCAUAAAAAUGAAAUAGGAGUAACAUUGCAUUGGGUCCAUUUCAUCCUUGUCAUACCCGAUCCCCCCCAUGCCACCUCUCUCUCACUCUCUCUUAAUUUUAACUUUAUGUGUUGUUAAUUUAUUUAUUUUUUACAUUAAAUUUACUACCAAGUUAAGGUGACAGAUAUAUUACUAACAAGUUUUGCAUGAUUUUUAGUUUAUCCUUACUUUGACUUAAGUUCAAUUUACAACAAAUGGGUACAAUUGCUGGGUUUAGUUUAACCCCUGCAAAAUUAUAUUAAAUGUGGGGGUUGAAAAUGUGCCACUAAAAAUUAUAUAAUUUGCGGGGGUUUUAACCCCUGCUAUACAUCAAAAAAUACCACUAAAAAUUAUAUAAUUAGUGGAGGUUUUAACCCCCGCUAUACAUUCAAAAGAAUACCGCUAAAAUAUUAUAUAAUUUGCGGGGGGUUUAACCCCCGCUAUACAAAAAAAAAACUAUGAACUGCUAUGAUAUUUACCUCUUUUUACCCCAAAAAACAUUUCUACCUCUUAUUUUUCCCCAAUUAGAGAGAGGUGCCCCGACCAUUGCUGCACAGUAAGAGGUCUUCGGUCGGCCAUUUCCUUUCUAGCUCUGAUUGAUCCUUAGCCAUUCCUACACACUCUAGCUCCGAUAUUGAAAGAUUCUGUGACUCGUACAACUCCGGCUCCGGCACCGACUUCCUCGCCUUUUAUCUCUCUGUAAGCAACAAUUAAUGCAUAUUUUUGUUCAUUAUUACUUGUACUUGAAGUUGUGAACUUGUAGUUACUUGCAUUUGAAGUUGUAAACUUAUAGUUUUUUGGAGACUAUUUGAACAUUGGUGAUUUUAUGAAUAUUGCAUUUUUUUAUCUUGAUUUUAUGUCUAUUUUGUUCAUUAUUAGGUGCAUUUGAAGUUGUCAACUUGUACUUCUUUUUUUCUCUGGAGAUUGUUUGAAUACAUUGGGGAUUUUUAUGUCUAUUUUUUUCAUUAUUAAGUGCAUUUGAAGUUGCAGACUUGUAGUUCUUUAUCAGUAGCUUCAUCUUUUUAUGUGUUAUUAGACUUAAGAAUUUAUGUGUCCUGUAACACAUUGCUAGUUUUAAUCCUUACAUAUUUUGAUUUGAUUACCAUAGCGAGAGCAAAUAUUAACCGAUCGUUACCUGUUUUUCACGCAUAAGUUGAUAGAAUGAUACAAUUGUUACUAAAUAGAAAAUGAAAAGAUAGAAAAUAGAAUACAUUCCCUUUCUAUGGGAUUGUACUAGCUUAUGAUUUUUUAUCUACAGACGACAAAAGCAACAUUUCUUUUUAUGUUGUAUGAUGAAAAAAUCGACGGUCUCCUCAUUUCAUAUGAAUUGAGUGAUUUAGAAAUGUUGAACUGGUCUUUUAUUCGCGUUAGUGUUUCUAUGUGUGACAAAAACUAUUCAGAAAGACAGUUUUUGCUUAUUCAAAAUAGUUUUUUGUGCUUAAUAUAACUAUUCUAUCGAUCUUGUCAUUAUGUAGUUAUAGUCUUAAUAACUGCUAACCACCUCGCUGGAGGAUGAGACAUCCAAUAAAGGAAGUCGACAAAAGUUUUUUAUUACAAAGAUGACCGAAUUAAUCACUUAUCUGAUGUGUUUGGCUGCAACACUUGAGAAAUCCUUCAUAUUACUCUCUUUUAACAAGAACACAAAGUUGGCCUGUCCACUAGUUAAGGCAUUACUUAAAGUAGGACUUUCACUUUGGGGACAAUGACCAUGUAUACCAAUAUUUCCAUUCUUGAACUUAGUAAAUAAUAUCUGUAUAUCAUAACAUUACCCUAGUUGUAUUGCCUCAUUUGACAUUGUUAUUUACUCUGUUAUUCAAUCACUAGGUUUUGAAUUGUGUGGUAUUAGUCUGGGGAUUUUUAAAUUACCAAAUAAAUAGAUGUGCAGGUUCUACUUUUAAGGGAGAAGAUUUUCCAUCAUUAUUAAUUGAUUAUGGUCGUUGAAUUUGUUUUCUAUGUUUGUAAAGUUAGUUGAGUUGUGGAAAAAUUAACCCAGACAUCAUAAUUAUAUGUUAGAGUAAUUUUUCAUAAGAUAUUUUGUUAUGUAUGUUCUUUGUUAGAGUUCAUUAAUUUAUUUAUUUUCUAUUGCAUUUACUUUUCUUCUUUAUGAAAUCUUAUAGGUAAUGUUUAGCAUAUUCAUCAAAUUCUUUAAUGGAUAGAUCUUCGACUGGAAUGCAAAGAAGCACACCAGAGUAUUUGCCUGGCUUGAAUUAGUUUCUAGAUUUUGCAUUUACCAAUGGAGCUAUAUGAGAGAAAAUAAAGUGCCCAUGUCCUAUAUGUGGUUUUAAAAAGUGGCAAACAAAAAAAGUGGUGUUUCACCAUUUGAUGAAUAAGGAUUUCCCUAAAAAUUACGUCACUUGGGUUGUACAUGGGGAAAUAAACGUUUUGCCUAAUUCCAGAAACAUAGAGGUUUUUGACAAUCCUAUUGAAUUAUUGAUUAAUGAAGCAUUGGGGGUUUAAGGCAUGAGGCUAUUGAUGUAUGCCCGUCACAAGUAGUGGGAGAAGAAGAAACUUUACAUGAUUUGUCUGGUUCAAAUAACAAAGAUUAUUUUAAAUUUCUUAAAGAUGGGAGUGAAGAUUUGUAUGAAGGAUCAAAGUACUCAAAGUUGGAAUAUUUGUUAAAGCUUUAUCACAUAAAGUGUUUGUAUGGAUUAAGUGAUAAGGGAAUGACUAUGCUGCUAGAUCUACUUAGGGAUGCAUUUAAACUUACAAAGAUCCAUAUAUCUUUUUAUGAGGCUAAGAAAAUCAUCAACAAGUUGUGUCUUGAUUAUAUCAAGAUAGAUGCUUGCCCAAAUGAUUGUAUAUUGUACUGGGAAGAUGAUGUUAAUGCAAAAUCAUGUAAGUAUUGUCACAAUUCUAGAUGGAAGCUCGAGAAGGAUAGCAAUUUUGAUCAUGCUCCUAGUACAAGUAAGAAACAAAAGAAGAAGCAAAAAAAGCUUGCAAAAGCUUACAAAGAUUGUUUAUGUGCUCUAAAACUGCAGAGCAUAUGAGAUGGUAUGCAGAGGAUGAUAAUAAAGAUGGAAUCUUAAGGCACCCUCGAGAUGGUGAAGCAUGGAAAAGGCUUGAUAGUAAUUAUCCUAAAUUUGCUUCUGAUCCUUUAAAUGUUCGAUUAGGACUAGCUAGUGAUGGUUUCAAUCCUUUUGGAUCGAUGAGUACUAACUACAAUAUUUGGCCAGAGGUUUUGUUUCCAUACAAUCUUCUUCCUUGGUUUUGUAUGAAGCAAUCAAAUUUUAUCCUCUCAAUGAUCAUUCCAGGUCCACGUACAGUAGGGAAUAACAUAGAUGUAUAUCUACAACCACUUAUUAAGGAGUUGAAUGAGUUGUGGAGUGCAGGUGUAGAUACUUUUUAUUCAUCAAAGAAUGAAAUGUUCAAAAUGUAAGCAACUCUUUUGUGGACAAUUAGUGAUAUUCUGGACUUGAUAUCUUAUCUGGUUGGAACAUGCAUACUGGUCUUGCAUAUCCUUCUUGUAAUUUAGAUGCAAAAACUUAUCGACUUCGUCAUAGUAGAAAGUGGUAUUUUAUUAGCCACCAUAGAUUCUUCGAAAGAAAUCAUAAAUUUAGAUUGAUGAGACAUCAUUUUGAUGGAAAUAUGGAAGAGUGAACCCUUCAAAAAAGUUAUCUGGGUCAAAAAUUUUCCAACGGGUGAAAGGUAUCAAUGUCACAUUUGGAAGACAAUCAUAGUUGCAGAAUAGAAAAAGGAAAAAGAAUGUUGGGGAAGAUGCAACUCAACAAUGGAAGAAGAAAAGUAUAUUCUUUGAUCUUCUAUUUUAGGAGUUUAAUCUAUUGCCCCAUAAUUUAGAUCCGAUGAAUAUUGAAAAGAAUGUGUUUGGCAAUGUUAUAUACACAUUGUUAGAUGAUAAAGAAAAGUCAAAAGAUCAUGUUAAGGCCCGAAGAGAUCUACAAGAUAUGGGCAUAAGGCGUGAUCUUUGGGUCAAUGAGAAUAAUGAGUGUAAACUUGUUGCAUUUGCAAUUCCAAAGAACAAGAAAGUGGCCUUUCUCAAGACUUUAAAGAAUAUCUCAGUGCCGGAUGGUUAUUCAAGUAAUAUAUCUCAUCGUAUUGAUUUGGAUCAAAAAAAAUUUUAGAUUAAAAAGCCAUUAUUAUCAUAUUCUUAUGCAAAAGUUGUUACCCAUAGCAAUUCAUAAUGUGCUUCCAAGAUAGGUUGUUGUAACUUUGGUUGAGUUUUCUUCCCUUUUCAGGCAACUUUGUUUGAAAAGUUUAAGUCUUGUAGACUUAGACAAGCUACAAAAUCAAAUUGUGGAAACUCUUUGCCAUUUAGAGAUUUUAUUUCUCCAUCAUUUUUUACUAUAAUGAUUCAUCUAACUGUUCAUUUAGUUAAUGAGGUAAAAAAAAGUGGCCUGGUACAUUAUCGUUGAAUGUAUUCAGUUGAAAGGUAAGAUAUUCGUUAUUCAAAAUCAUUUUAGUUUAUUUUGCAGUAGUAUUUCAACAUAAAUGCUUCAUCUUACACAUUAAUAUUUUUGGGUAUAGAUUGUUGGGCCAUUUCAAGUCCCUUGCAGGGAACAAAUCACAAGCAGAAGGUUCCAUAGUUGAAGAAUCUCUUACUCUUUAUUCUUAUUAUUUUGAGGAAAUUGAGUCAAGGUUAAAUCGACCUAAAUGUGUAAAUAAUAAACCAAGACAAAAUGAGGCUUCUGAAAAGUCAAGUAUGUUCCCUCAACAAGGUAAGCAUGUUGGAGGCUUUAUAACAAAAUCGCUGGCUCAUUUGGAGAAAACACUAGAUCAUCGAUAUGUGUUACUUAAUUGUGCAGCUGUGAAGCCAUUUAUUGAGUAAGAAAAUCUACAUUGAUUUGAUUUGUAAGAUAUGUUUUGAGAAAUUAGAUUAAAAUUGCUAAUUAUAAUGCCUUUAUAGUGAAUUUAGAGAUUACAUCAAAAGAAGUACAAGAGGCAAAGAGUUUCAGCAACAGAGGUAAAGAGAAGAGUUAGUAAAGAGUUCACUGAUUGGUUUCCUAAGCGAGUGAAUGAAUGAUAUUAGAAUGUUUUUUUCAUAUAACUUUCUUAUUUCAAUUUAUAAUUUCUAAUAUAAGUGUUUUAUAUGUUUUGAUUAUGAAUCCAAAUAUAGCAGAUACUAUCUCUGAUAAGAUGAAGUUGUUAGCACAAGGUCCAACCCAAAAUGCAAGAAAAUUCAAUGCUUAUAAUAUUAAUGGAUUCAAAUUCCUAACUUUGUCUAGAGAACAAGGAUUAAAAACUCAAAAUAGUGGAGUUUUUCUUGUCUCUAACACUUCUUGUGUUGCAUCUAGUGCAGAUAGACAUGCAACAUAAGUAGACUUGCCAUAUUAUGUAAAGUUGGAAGAUAUUAUUGAGCUUAAUUAUUAUGGCUAAUUUAGGGUUGUUUUUUUAAAUGCUAGUGGGUUGAUACUACCCAGAAUAGAGGGUUUAAAAUAAAUACUUGGAAGUUUAAUUUUGACAACUUUUUCAAAUUGAUUCAUACCAAUGAUCGUGUGGAUGAUGACGCAUAUAUUGAAGCAUCACAAGCAAAUAUGGUCUACUAUAUUGAUGAUAAAAAUGAUAAAGAAUGAAGUUUGGCUGUACAUCUAAAUCCAAGAGAUUUGCUUGACAUGGGAGAGGUUGAUGAAGAGGAAAUAUAUGAGACUGAGCCAUACCAACAACAAGAAUUUGGACUAUUUUUUAUGUUGAUUACGAGAAUGUCCAAAUUACAAUAGAGGUGUAUAUGACUAAAUAGAUAUAUCAUUUUUUUCUAGUUUUCUUUGGCACUUUAUUUUUCUCGCUUGAUUAGUGUUUUUUUUCAAGACUUUCUAUUUUUUGGCUAUGAAAGUUAUCAUUGUUCUUUAUAUAAUUCUUGAUCUUUCUCAUUUAUAACUAGAGAAUAGUUGUAGUCACUUGUGGGGAGUAGUGUGUGUAUCUUCCUGGUAUGUUAGGUGGUUUCUUAUCUCAAGGCAAAAAACUGAAGGACAAGAACUGACUGGGGGUCUUGGUUGUACUGUUCACAGAAACUUCUUUGGGAGCCAGGGCAAAAAGCUGGAGGACAGGAACUGAUUGGGGGUCUUGAUUGUACUAUUCAUAAAAACUUCUUUGGGAUCCAGAUAUGCCAAGGUUCAAGCAGUUGUAGAAAAAGCAAAAACUAGGUUCGUCGGUGUCUACAUCAUAAGAUUUUCGAGACUGGACAAUGGCCUGUACGAGCACAAAUGUACGUUGCUACUUAUAAGAAUCAAGAUGGAGUAUAUUUCAAUAAAGCGACAAAAGAAAUAUGUGAAAAAAUUGAGUUAGCUUUGAGCCAAAGCGCCAUAGAUGAGUCUUAAGUUUUGCCAAAUGAUGUCAUUAGUAAGGUGCUAGGGCCAAAGCACUCUAGAAGGGUGAGAUUCUUGGGAUUAUGAGUUGUUCCUAGUAGAGUUUUUAAACAAGAUGGACCUCAUUUUGGUGGUAUAAGUGCUUCGAGUAGUGGAGGUUCUUGUUCAUUCCAAUGUUGAGAAAACUUUGCUCAAAUGAUGAAUUCUCACAAUCAGAUAAUGACUGCUUUGAAGGCAUAUAUGAUAAUGAAAGAAGGAAUGAUACCGAAACAAUUUGAGGGCCUCUUUGACUCUCCUUCAAUGGUUUCUACCACAACACCAAGUGAUGCGGCUAGUGGACCCAUUUCGCCCAUGGAUACAAGGAGGUCACGUAAUGAUAAUGAUCCUAAUGACAUUCUUUGAUUUCAUUGCAUUUGUCUUGGAUAUUCAAUUAUGAUGAUGUAAUUGUAUGGUUGGAG